AUAUCCUGAAGACUUUAGAACUCUGGCCACAUGUUACCCAGAAGAUGACAGAUGAUGGAUCAUGAUUUUGAAUUUCAGGAACAACCACUACCUCUUUAUCCAAUAACCACAUAAGCAAUCACAAAUCAAGUCUACAGUUUUUUGGCUCAAUUCAUGUGAAAUGCAAUAAACUUGUCCUUCAAUCACAGAACACAGGGAAUGAACUGGCAUUUUCUCCUGUCAGCUAAUGAAACAAUUGGGGAUCAUUGGAGAAUAAUAAAUGGACAAUUAACAGCUUUAUCUGGAG
rnacentral:lncRNA from 1 species